rnacentral:rRNA from 1 species
UACGUAGGGUGCGAGCGUUAAUCGGAAUUACUGGGCGUAAAGCGUGCGCAGGCGGUUUUGUAAGCCAGAUGUGAAAUCCCCGGGCUUAACCUGGGAAUGGCAUUUGGGACUGCAAGGCUUGAGUGCGGCAGAGGAGACUGGAAUUCCUGGUGUAGCAGUGAAAUGCGUGGAUAUCGUGAGGAACACUCGUGGCGAAAGCGAGCUACUGGACAACUCCUGACGCUGAGGCUCGAAGGCCAGGGUAGCGAAAGGG